AGUUAGAAUAUGCGGUUACAAC
rnacentral:snRNA from 1 species